rnacentral:rRNA from 1 species
CCUACGGGAGGCAGUAGUGGGGAAUAUUGGACAAUGGGGGAAACCCUGAUCCAGCAAUGCCGCGUGAGUGAUGAAGGCCUUAGGGUCGUAAAGCUCUUUUACCAGGGAUGAUAAUGACAGUACCUGGAGAAUAAGCUCCGGCUAACUCCGUGCCAGCAGCCGCGGUAAUACGGAGGGAGCUAGCGUUGUUCGGAAUUACUGGGCGUAAAGCGUGCGUAGGCGGUUAUUCAAGUCAGAGGUGAAAGCCCGGGGCUCAAACCCCGGAACGGCCUUUGAAACUAGAUAACUAGAAUCUUGGAGAGGUCAGUGGAAUUCCGAGUGUAGAGGUGAAAUUCGUAGAUAUUCGGAAGAACACCAGUGGCGAAGGCGACUGACUGGACAAGUAUUGACGCUGAGUACGAAAGCGUGGGAGCAAACAGGAUUAGAUACCCUGGUAGUCCACGCCGUAAACGAUGAUAACUAGCUGUCCGGACACUUGGUGUUUGGGUGGCGCAGCUAACGCAUUAAGUUAUCCGCCUGGGGAGUACGGUCGCAAGAUUAAAACCUUAAAGGAAAUUGACGGCNGAGANANCAGAGACACAGGAGAG